rnacentral:rRNA from 1 species
GACGUAGGGGGCGAGCGUUGUCCGGAUUUAUUGGGCGUAAAGCGCGUGUAGGCGGCCCGGUAAGUCCGCUGUGAAAGUCCAGGGCUCAACCCUGGGAUGCCGGUGGAUACUGUCGGGCUCGAGUCCGGAAGAGGCGAGUGGAAUUCCUGGUGUAGCGGUGAAAUGCGCAGAUAUCAGGAGGAACACCAAUGGCGAAGGCAGCUCGCUGGGACGUGACUGACGCUGAGACGCGAAAGCGUGGGGAGCAAACAGG